rnacentral:rRNA from 1 species
GGAAUUGACGGGACCGCACAAGCGGUGGAUGAUGUGGAUUAAUUCGAUGAUACGCGAGGAACCUUACCUGGGCUUAAAUGUAGAGUGCAUUUUCUAGAGAUAGGAAUUCCCUUCGGGGCUUUCUACAAGGUGCUGCAUGGUUGUCGUCAGCUCGUGCCGUGAGGUGUCGGGUUAAGUCCCAUAACGAGCGCAACCCUUAUCGUUAGUUGCCAUCUGGUAAAGCAGGGGACUCUAGCGAAACUGCCACCGUAAGGUGAGAGGAAGGUGGGGAUGACGUCAAAUCAGCACGGCCCUCAUGUCCAGGGCUACACACGUGUUACAAUGGACGGUACAAAGGGUUGCAAUGCCGCGAGGUGGAGCUAAUCUCAAAAAGCCGUUCUCAGUUCAGAUUGGAGUCUGCAACUCGACUCCAUGAAGGCGGAAUCGCUAGUAAUCGCGGAUCAGCAUGCCGCGGUCGAAUACGUUCCCGGGCCUU